UACGUAGGGUGCGAGCGUUAAUCGGAAUUACUGGGCGUAAAGCGUGCGCAGGCGGUUAUUUAAGUCAGGUGUGAAAGCCCUGGGCUUAACCUAGGAAUUGCGCUUGAGACUGGAUAGCUUGGAGUGCGGCAGAGGGAGGUGGAAUUCCACGUGUAGCAGUGAAAUGCGUAGAGAUGCGGAGGAACACCGAUGGCGAAGGCAGCCCCCUGGGCCAACACUGACGCUCAGGCACGAAAGCGUGGGGAGCAAACAGG
rnacentral:rRNA from 1 species